AGUUCCAAACCCCAUUGGCUCCCAGCAUUGUCAAUUCUAAUGAGCGGGGCGUACCGAAGACUCUCCAGGCGCCCGCUCUGAGAGCUUUUGCUGUUUUAGAAAGAGCAGGGAGCUGGUGCGCGAACUGAUUGAAGCCGUGGACAGACCUCCUUGGCAGCCCGCGGCGCUGCCCGGGUCAAUACAGUGUGCCUGAGCGCCUGUCUCAUGCUCUAAGGGGGCGCGGAAGAGCACAGACUAAGGCGAGGGCCCGGCCGGGCCUGGCGGCAACCUCCAUCUUAGGGCAGUCUGUGCUCCCAAAGCCAGCAGGACAAUCUUUCCAACUUGGCCUCUCUUGACUUAUAAUAGUGUUCCUGAUUAAAUCAGGCCCAUCACGGUCUCCUCUAAGAUUAACUCAAAAUCCCCCCUGAUCGGACAAAGCCUGUAAGACAUCUGCAAAAUCUCUGUCAUGCUAAGCAGUAAAGAGCAGCAGACAUCUCCCAGAGCAGCCACUUUGCCGGAACAGCCUUCUGAUCUCUACUGUUCCUUCCUGGGACAGGAGAUUCUACCUCAAAGGAUCCUCCCAUUAGCCAAGAACAGAAGUCAGCUGGAAACAAAUGGAAAGCUAAGAAGACUCUGAACAGACACACAAUGCCAUAAGCAUAGACAAUUCCUGGUGCAAAAAGAAGGAGAAGGUUCCCUGAUGAAUUCAAAAUAUAAAUGGAGAUGUGGAAAUGGGAGUUGUCAAACUGUCUACAGAAGGACUUUAGUUUGGGGCUCGUGUACUGGGCAGCACAUGAAAUAACAUCCCUGGGUGUUGUAUCUGAAGAUUCUGACAGAAAGAACGGGAGCAGCUAUAGUGAUUAAUCAAAGACUCUCCUGAUAAUUUGAGAAGACUGCCUCUCCUGAGACCAGCAGAUGUAGAAUGUGAGUCAGGGAAGUGGAGUGGAGAGAUUCACCAAAGCACAGAAAGUUGGUUGCAGGGCUGCUGAGAUCCCUCCAUGGUCAAGGUUCUUGCUGCCAAGCCUGAGGAUCUAAGUUUGAUCCCCAGGAUCCACGUGUGUCAAGAAGAAAAGAACUGACUCGUGCAAGCUGUCUUCUGAUCUCAACAUCCGUGUGCACAUGAGUGUUUACACACAAAAUACCCACAUGCAAAGAGGCAUACAGGGGC
rnacentral:lncRNA from 1 species